AUUCGAGGCGUUCGUAGGCCGAUUCGCAAGGCAAGGGCUUAUUGGAGUAGAGAUUUGCACGGUUUGAGGUAAGUAACAUUCUAAACUUGGUUUUGAAGGCAUGAAUCCUGAAUUUCGUGUUAUGUGAUUAGUGUUGAGGUGACACACAUACUAGGUGACAGGCGUGUGGGCGUGCACCGUAGUAAUUAUGACUUAGUCGAUUUCGUGGGACUGUGUAGUCACCUUAUCUGAAUAUUAUUACUAAACUCUGUGUUGGAGAACUUGAGCUGUCAAUUUUGUUAGAAAUCAUGUUUAGGCUAUGAGCUGGUACUAUCGGGACCCACAAUGGUCGUUCUUUUGUUAAGAUUAUUUUUCUAAUUUGCAGUUACGUACUCAGUCACAUUUAUCAUUGUAUAUCAUAUAUCAGUCUCUGUAUCAUUUAUUAUCAUAUCAUGUAUCGUUGAUUUGGGCUGCUUAGCAUGAGUGUGGUGAGUUGAUGACUGAGUUGGGGCAUGAGAGUCGUGCUAUGAGUGAAUUAUGUGGAUCGGGUUGCAUGCCUCAACAAGCCUUAUGUCUAUAUGUGGAUCGUGUUGCACGCUGCAACAAGCCUUAUGACUAUAUGUGGAUCGGAUUGCACGACGCAAUAAGCCUUAUGGCUAUAUGUGGAUCGGGUUGUGCGCCGUGACAGGCCUUUUGGCUAUAUGUGGAUCGGGCUGCAUGCCGCAACAGAUACCGUAUAGUGCUGAGUGACUGAGUGUGACGAGCGAGAAUUAAGACAGUCAGAUUGAGUGCUCUGAGAGUAAAAAUACUUGAAGUUUCAUUGUGUUGCAUCACAUACGGUAUUCAUAUUGGCAUGUAGAUAUAGACAUGUCAUAUUCAUCAUAUUAGUCACACUUGGUAUAUUUUAUCCGUGUUGAGCUUAAUUGUUAAACCUAGAAGCAUGUCAACAUUUUCUGUAUUCUUAAAUUCUUUACUUUUACUGUAUUAUUUGAGCUCGUCACUGCUUUCAGCCCAAAUGUUAGACUUGUUACUUAUUGAGUUGGUUGCAUCACAUACGGUAUUCAUUUUCACAUUCUUGUAUUCUUGUCGUGCAAAUCUGUUUAUUCCAGAAACUAAACUUCUGUUGUCUAUUCUCUCAUAGAUGGUGAAGAAACGUGCUGCCGGAUCGGGCGGAUGACCACCAGUACCACCCUCUAGGGCCACGGAACGCCGAGGUCGCGGUAGAGGCCGAGGUGCAACUCGUACAACAGCUAGAGCAACACCUGUAGACCCACCAGUUGUUCCAGCUCAAGAGCAGAUCAUUUUGAUUCCAAGCCUUCAGGAGGCUCUGGCCUAGAUAUUGACUGUUUGCAUUAGCCUUGCUCAGACAGCUUUAGUUCCGCAGCCACUUCUCAGGCCGGGGGAGGUGCUCAGACACCUGCUGCCUAUACUCAUGGACUUCAGACACCGAG
rnacentral:lncRNA from 1 species